GAUGAACGCUGGCGGCGUGCCUAAUACAUGCAAGUCGAACGCUUCACAUAUGUGAAGAGUGGCGAACGGGUGAGUAAUACAUAAGUAACCUGGCCUUUACAGGGGGAUAACUGUUGGAAACGAUAGCUAAGACCGCAUAGGUGUGAUAACCGCAUGGAGAUGACAUGAAAUAUGCUACGGCAUAGGUAGAGGAUGGACUUAUGGCGCAUUAGCUAGUUGGAGGGGUAACGGCCCACCAAGGCGACGAUGCGUAGCCGACCUGAGAGGGUGACCGGCCACACUGGGACUGAGACACGGCCCAGACUCCUACGGGAGGCAGCAGUAGGGAAUUUUCGGCAAUGGGGGAAACCCUGACCGAGCAACGCCGCGUGAAGGAAGAAGUAAUUCGUUAUGUAAACUUCUGUCAUAGAGGAAGAACGGUGCGUGUAGGGAAUGACAUGCAAGUGACGGUACUCUAUAAGAAAGCCACGG
rnacentral:rRNA from 1 species